UUUUGUUACUCUUGACUAUAGUAGGCUCUGUUCAGUUUACAUAACAUUGUUGUGGGAAUUAUUGUUCAAGCCUUUGAAUGGGGGUAGACUUGUUUGCAUGCUGAAAAAUAUAUCACCAUAGUAACCCUUCUCAUUCAAUACUGAAAGAGCUCGUUGAGAGCUUGGCUGAGUUGGUUAAAAUAGGAAACACACGUAAAAUAUCUUUGAAGCUUUAACUUCCGUAUAGACAUAGCAUGUCACAUAUAUGCGUAAAAAAUGAAGAAAAAUUCCCAGGCUUGGCUACAUACACUGCGAAAGAAGAGCCAGGCCCGGGAUGCGGCGGUAUGUCCUUCCUCCUCCCCGCCCAGGUGACGGAACUCCCUCACAGAGAAGCCGUCCUUAGCAUGACCUCCACUCCCGAUAACGGCCUCCUCCUGCUGGGCCAGGACGGCCUGCUCUCCCUCUGGUCUCCGACACUCCGGCUCAGAAAAACCAGAGCACUUCUUGAAGAAAACAAACAACCAGCCAGAACACCCAAGUGGAUUGCAGACACAACGUUGAUGCCGCAGUAUAACAAACUUGUUAUCGGAACUUGGCGCAAUGGACAUUUCUCUCUAUAUAUUAUUACAGACUCUGUGAAAUCUGACUGGACACCAAGCAACGGAUUUCAACAGUUUUUUUUUUGUAGAAGUGAAGCACAG
rnacentral:lncRNA from 1 species